GAUGAACGCUGGCGGCGUGCUUAACACAUGCAAGUCGAACGGGAAUUAUUUUAUUGAAACUUCGGUCGAUUUAAUUUAAUUCUAGUGGCGGACGGGUGAGUAACGCGUGGGUAACCUGCCUUAUACAGGGGGAUAACAGUCAGAAAUGGCUGCUAAUACCGCAUAAGCGCACAGAGCUGCAUGGCUCAGUGUGAAAAACUCCGGUGGUAUAAGAUGGACCCGCGUUGGAUUAGCUGGUUGGUGGGGUAACGGCCCACCAAGGCGACGAUCCAUAGCCGGCCUGAGAGGGUGAACGGCCACAUUGGGACUGAGACACGGACCAGACUCCUACGGGAGGCAGCAGUGGGGAAUAUUGCACAAUGGGGGAAACCCUGAUGCAGCGACGCCGCGUGAAGGAAGAAGUAUCUCGGUAUGUAAACUUCUAUCAGCAGGGAAGAUAGUGACGGUACCUGACUAAGAAGCCCCGGCUAACUACGUG
rnacentral:rRNA from 1 species